UACGUAGGGUGCAAGCGUUAAUCGGAAUUACUGGGCGUAAAGCGUGCGCAGGCGGUGAUGUAAGACAGUUGUGAAAUCCCCGGGCUCAACCUGGGAACUGCGUUUGAAACUACAAGGCUAGAGUGUGGCAGAGGGGGGUGGAAUUCCACGUGUAGCAGUGAAAUGCGUAGAGAUGUGGAGGAACACCGAUGGCGAAGGCAGCCCCCUGGGUUAACACUGACGCUCAGGCACGAAAGCGUGGGGAGCAAACAGG
rnacentral:rRNA from 1 species